rnacentral:tRNA from 1 species
GCCUUCUUAGCUCAGUUGGUAGAGCGUUUGACUCGUAAUCAAAAGGUCAGUGGUUCGACUCCGCUAGAAGGCA